AAAGGCGGGAAAAAAGCUCCUUUAGGGAGGGACAGCGCGUGGGCGCAGCGUGAGAGGGAAAUGUCAAAGUGGUCCUCUUAGCCUCUGCUGCAGCAAAAGCACUACGCAAAAGGUGCACCUCGUGAUUUUGUGCGCACAGUCUGCCAUCAGAGCAGUGUUGUGCACCACAGCCACGUUCGUGCUGACUAAAAUCCAAAUGGGCUGUAAAAAGAAGAAAACUCAGAAGUCUCCCUGCAUCCUGUGACCCUGCACACUACGUUGCCAGGAAGUAAACAAAGAUCAGACUUUACACAUGAAGAUGUACUACAAUGGGCGCUGGGAACUGAGAGCCUUGGAAAACACAAGAGAACAACUUGCGUGGAAAAUUGCUAUUUUCAUUCCACGUCUGCAAAUGUUCCCUUUCAAGGGCAAUGUAAGAUGAGCGAAAUUUCUGUAAUGAGGUUUAUCAGGGAGAGGGGAGAAUCUACCUGUAAAGUUUUGUAUUCGCUGCAGUGUAAAACUCUGGGAACAAUAUUAUAAAAUAUGAUUUAUAUCAACUGAAAAGAAGGAUAAAAAACAUUGGCUGAAAAUCCACAGCUUUACUCACCUCUUAUCAAAACUCUUACAAAAAACAGUUUCGUAUGUUGUUAUACUGUUAUUCCUCUGGAGAGCUGUGUCCGUCAUGGCAAAAAACAUUCUGAAUAUUCUAAAAUUUGUUCCUUGAAAACAUCUGAAGAAAAAGCAGGAGAUAUUUGGCUGCAUUGCUGUUUUGUUCUCGACAUGAAGAAAAGACCGUUUGUAGUUUCUGUUGCAGUUUUGUAUAGUAGCAGAAGAAAAGGGAAGUGAGUCUAUGUGCUUCUUGGGAUAUUCUGAUACAAGUUUCCUUGUUCCACCCUGCAGUGAAAGUUGCCAUGGACUACAUUGGUGUGUACUUCUGGGUUACGGUAGUAGCACUGUUUGAAUCUGAAAAUCCUGAGAAGGCUUUUCCAACAGGCAGCACAAUACAGUAAAGAACAGAAGCUUACUCUGAAUUUUAGCAUCCUCUCUAACAUAAAGCAGAAAUUGUCUGGAUUUUGGUAGCAUUUUUUAGAGGAAGAUUCCAUCAAACUGGACCAUGCACGCCAGUGAAAUUAUCUAGUGAGACUGAUGGACCACACAGAAUCACAUCUCCCCUGUUCUUGCCAAGGUUAAAGGAGCAGUGAAUUCAGCCUGCAUAAAGAGAAAAUGAAAUAAAUUAUUAUUUUUAGCUUGUCCUGACAAGCAUCGUUUUAUGUGGCUUCUUACAAACGCGGUGCAUGUAAGCAGUAGGAGGAGCUGUUGAGCAAGAUAUGUUUUUUUCUAACUCAUUAUAAGGUGUAUAAUUAUGAUUUGUGAAGCUGACUCAGUGAUGGCUUUUCAAGCCUUUCACAAAUGAAAAGUGCCGCAGUUCUACUCCCAACAAAACCAAAGUGAAAUCUUUCAAUCACAAAGCAUAUGCCACAUACUUGCAAAGCUUUUAAUGCCAGCACUGAAAAGAAAGUUUUUGGGUCAUGAAGUUCUGGUAUUGCACUGGGAAGAUUUGCUAGAGAAAGCAGUGCAGGAUUCAGCCAUGGAGUGAGACACCUGAGUCCCUUUGCUCACCCUGGAUCAGCACUGUCUCAGUGCUACACUGAGCCUCCAGUUUUGCACUUCUGCUAUCUUCACAUAGGACCUGUAUCUGUGUCUGGAUUAUUCAUGUUUAAUUGGUGGUCCCUUCCAUUUCAAGAGUUGAGUGAAAGCAAAUUCUCUGCAGUUUUUAUAUGGAUGACUUCGAAAUGGCCAUAUCAUAACAACAAUUGCUGCUCUCUUGCAUCUAUUUAGCAGAAGAUUUUGCCUGCACUGUAUUGUUGCAUCUGCAUUCCAUUCAGAAGUGAAAUCUUUGCACACUCUGCAGCUAUGGAGUGUUUCAGAUCACAUUUCAAGCUGAGAUGCUUUUGGAACUAACUCAAACUCUUGCAGCAUUGAGGACAUAUAAAGCUACAGAAGAUAGGCAACAAAACUCAGGGUGCUGAUGGAGUGCUUCAGGUGGUGUGGAGCAUCUUCUGCUGUUGCACAGUGUGAGUACAAGGCCUCAGGAACUGCAGUAACAGUUUGGGUCUGCGUGCUGGUGGCUGGAAGAGCACUUUGUGCAGAGUCUGGAAUGAAACCACUUUCUUUCACUUGGCA